rnacentral:rRNA from 1 species
CCCUUAGAUGUCCGGGGCCGCACGCGCGCUACACUGAAGGAAUCAGCGUGGCUUUCUCCCUGACCCGAAAGGGUUGGGAAACCCGUGGAAUCUCCUUCGUGAUAGGGAUUGGGGCUUGAAAUUGUUCCCCAUGAACGAGGAAUUCCCAGUAAGCGCGAGUCAUAAGCUCGCGUUGAUUACGUCCCUGCCCUUUGUACACACCGCCCGUCGCUACUACCGAUUGAACGGUUUAGUGAGGGCCUCGGAUUGGUCUCGGCCCGCUCUUUACCGGGCGGCGCCGUUGGUCGAGAAGACGCUCGAACUUGAUCGUUUAGAGGAAGUAAAAGUCGUAACA